UAUUAAAGGCGACGCCUGCCCAGUGAAAAUUAAACGGCCGCGGUAUCCUAACCGUGCAAAGGUAGCAUAAUCAUUUGUCUAUUAAUUGUAGACCUGUAUGAAAGGCAAAAUGAGGGCCCAACUGUCUCUUAUAACAAAUCAAUUAAACUGAUCUCCUAGUACAAAAGCUAGAAUAAUAACAUAAGACCAGAAGACCCUGUGAAGCUUUAACUAACCUAUUAAACCCAAUAAUAGCUACUUUUGGUUGGGGCGACCUUGGAAUAAAAAAGAACUUCCAACCUAUGACUCCCUCAUAAAAAAGGCAAACAAGCCAACACUAGACCCAGCACAGCUGACAAUUGAAACAAGUUACUCCAGGGAUAACAGCGCUAUCUUCUUUAAGAGCCCAUAUCAAAAAGAAGGUUUACGACCUCGAUGUUGGAUCAGGACACCCCAGUAAUGCAACCGUUACUAAAGGUUCGUUUGUUCAACGAUUAAUAGUCCUACGU
rnacentral:rRNA from 1 species